rnacentral:rRNA from 1 species
AGAGGUGCUUGCACCUUUCAAGCGAGUGGCGAACGGGUGAGUAACACGUGGAUAACCUGCCUCAAGGCUGGGGAUAACAUUUGGAAACAGAUGCUAAUACCGAAUAAAACUUAGUAUCGCAUGAUAUCAAGUUAAAAGGCGCUACGGCGUCACCUAGAGAUGGAUCCGCGGUGCAUUAGUUAGUUGGUGGGGUAAAGGCUUACCAAGACGAUGAUGCAUAGCCGAGUUGAGAGACUGAUCGGCCACAUUGGGACUGAGACACGGCCCAAACUCCUACGGGAGGCUGCAGUAGGGAAUCUUCCACAAUGGGCGCAAGCCUGAUGGAGCAACGCCGCGUGUGUGAUGAAGGCUUUCGGGUCGUAAAGCACUGUUGUAUGGGAAGAAAUGCUAAAAUAGGGAAUGAUUUUAGUUUGACGGUACCAUACCAGAAAGGGACGGCUAAAUACGUGCCAGCAGCCGCGGUAAUACGUAUGUCCCGAGCGUUAUCCGGAUUUAUUGGGCGUAAAGCGAGCGCAGACGGUUGAUUAAGUCUGAUGUGAAAGCCCGGAGCUCAACUCCGGAAUGGCAUUGGAAACUGGUUAACUUGAGUGUUGUAGAGGUAAGUGGAACUCCAUGUGUAGCGGUGGAAUGCGUAGAUAUAUGGAAGAACACCAGUGGCGAAGGCGGCUUACUGGACAACAACUGACGUUGAGGCUCGAAAGUGUGGGUAGCAAACAGGAUUAGAUACCCUGGUAGUCCACACCGUAAACGAUGAAUACUAGGUGUUAGGAGGUUUCCGCCUCUUAGUGCCGAAGCUAACGCAUUAAGUAUUCCGCCUGGGGAGUACGACCGCAAGGUUGAAACUCAAAGGAAUUGACGGGGACCCGCACAAGCGGUGGAGCAUGUGGUUUAAUUCGAAGCAACGCGAAGAACCUUACCAGGUCUUGACAUCCUUUGAAGCUUUUAGAGAUAGAAGUGUUCUCUUCGGAGACAAAGUGACAGGUGGUGCAUGGUCGUCGUCAGCUCGUGUCGUGAGAUGUUGGGUUAAGUCCCGCAACGAGCGCAACCCUUAUUGUUAGUUGCCAGCAUUCAGUUGGGCACUCUAGCGAGACUGCCGGUGACAAACCGGAGGAAGGCGGGGACGACGUCAGAUCAUCAUGCCCCUUAUGACCUGGGCUACACACGUGCUACAAUGGCGUAUACAACGAGUUGCCAACCUGCGAAGGUGAGCUAAUCUCUUAAAGUACGUCUCAGUUCGGACUGCAGUCUGCAACUCGACUGCACGAAGUCGGAAUCGCUAGUAAUCGCGGAUCAGCACGCCGCGGUGAAUACGUUCCCGGGUCUUGUACACACCGCCCGUCACACCAUGGGAGUUUGUAAUGCCCAAAGCCGGUGGCCUAA